rnacentral:ncRNA from 1 species
GUAAAGCAGGACAAUGUAAGCCUGCUUUAAGUCGGCUCUGGAGCACGUACAUACCGCCCGUCACCCUCCUCAUAAGCUACAAUUCACCAUAUACCUAAAACUAACAUCAGCCAAAGACGAGGUAAGUCGUAACAAGGUAAGUGUACCGGAAGGUGCACUUAGCAUACCAAGACG